GAUGAACGCUGGCGGCGUGCCUAAUACAUGCAAGUCGAGCGAACAGACGAGGAGCUUGCUCCUCUGACGUUAGCGGCGGACGGGUGAGUAACACGUGUAUCACCUACCUAUCAGACUGGGAUAACUUCGGGAAACCGGCUCUAAUACCGGAUAAUAUCUUGAACCGCAUGGUUCAAUAGUGAAAUACGGUUUUGCUGUCACUUAUAGCUGGAUCCGCGCCGCAUUAGCUAGUUGGUACGGUACAGGGUUACCAAGGCGACGAUGCGUAGCCGACCUGAGAGAGGGAUCGGCGACCUGGGAACUGAGCCACGGACAAGACUCCUACGGGAGGCAGCAGUAGGGAACCUUACGCAGUGGGCGAAAGCCUGACGGAGCAACGGCGCGCGAGUGAUGAAGGUCUUCGGAGCGUAAAACUCUGUUAUUAGGGAAGAACAAAUGUGUAAGUAACUAUGCACGGCGUGACGGUACCUAAUCAGAAAGCCACGGCUAACUACGUG
rnacentral:rRNA from 1 species